UAGGGAAUCUUCGGCAAUGGGCGAAAGCCUGACCGAGCAACGCCGCGUGAAUGAUGAAGGCCUUCGGGUUGUAAAAUUCUGUUAUAAGGGAAGAAUGGCUCUAGUAGGAAAUGGCUAGAGUGUGACGGUACCUUAUGAGAAAGCCACGGCUAACUACGUGCCAGCAGCCGCGGUAAUACGUAGGUGGCGAGCGUUAUCCGGAAUUAUUGGGCGUAAAGAGCGCGCAGGUGGUUGAUUAAGUCUGAUGUGAAAGCCCACGGCUUAACCGGGGAGGGUCAUUGGAAACUGGUCAACUUGAGUGCAGAAGAGGGAAGUGGAAUUCCAUGUGUAGCGGUGAAAUGCGUAGAGAUAUGGAGGAACACCAGUGGCGAAGGCGGCUUCCUGGUCUGUAACUGACACUGAGGCGCGAAAGCGUGGGGAGCAAACA
rnacentral:rRNA from 1 species